AACAUAAAAAUUAUUAUUCAAAAACAUUCUUUUCAUUUGAAUAAUGAAGUAUCUUCUUUAGAACUAGGCUAGCACGACCUCUGUCAUCACUAAAUCGUAACGUACUUACCUAAACUUUUUUACUUUGCAAAAUCUUAUCAGAGAGAUAAGACUCGACAAUGGUCUAUCUCAAUAAUAGACAGUAUUAAUCCCUUCAAUUAACAAAACUCUUACACUAUGCAGAGUAUCCCAAAUUUUAUAAUUAAGAGAUAAAAACUGCAAAUUCGUCGAAAAUUUAAGUUCAAUAUAAUCUGGGACACUGAGCAUAAUAAAUUCCUUUAAUAUUAAUAUAAUAAAAUAGCUAUUACAUAUGCAUUUGCAUAAGAAAUUAUAUUUAUAAUAUAGUCAUUUUAAUUUACUCGACUUUUUCUUACUAGUAUUAUAUAGUUAAUAUUAUAUUAUUAUAUUAGCCCAAAAUAAUUUCCGCUGUUAUAUUAUCACAAAUUUUUUCCUUAAUACUUUGAGAUCAAUUAUUUAAACCGUUUAAACUAUAACUGAUAUGAUUGACUUUAUGAUAUAAAGCAUGAUAUCUUUAUUUACAGAAGAAGAAAAAAUCAGAAGAAACAGGAAAUGUCUGAUUAGGUCUGUUGCAGACAGUGCACUUUGCUGAAUAUGGAUUGUGCAUUGAUAUUUACACUUUUACCGUAAUUUACCGAGUUUUAGAAAAAAGGAUAAGCUAUUGUGUUAGUACCGCCACCAAUAGGUCUGGAACAGUCCUAAUCAGAUUCAGAGGAUUGAGGAUAAGUGUUAAAAAACGCAGUAAUGCUCUGAAAGUGACAGGUUCACUUUAAGCCACCACAAGAGAAUGCGGCAUAUUCCCAGUGUUGAAGAUUGCAUUGGAUCGUUUCCCCGCACACAAAGGACAAAGUAUUGCUGCGUUUUCUGCCAGUAGCAUAGUUCAGAAAAAAAACAAAUACUCCGUAUGCUAAUUUACAUUUUAUUGCUGCAACAUUAUUUGUCUUAAUACAGCGAGAAAAGUAUUGUCCGAGACAUUUGUCAGCCUCCUAUAGUGCUCUCAAUUCGCAAAACAAUUUCUCUCUUUUUUCAUAUAAAUCUCACUAAGGAUGUCAUUGAAGAGAAGCAUGCUUGUAUUCGAUGAAGUGAUGAGUGAACAACGAGUUUUUUUCCUUUGCACGAUAUAUUGUAUCGUAAUUCACCGUGAUUAUAAUUAGGUUCUCCGAGGUAGAGUACAUUUAGAGACACUAUGGGAGGCAAACAAAGCAGGACAAAAUUGAUAAAGAUUUCGUAGACAAACGAUUUUUUAAAUGAAAAAAGGGUUUGUGCUUCCCAAAACUCAUUAGGUUGUUCCAGACAUUGGACAGAUAGAGAGUAUAAUAAUUUCUUGUAAAAUUUUUCUCUCUCAUAGAGAAAAACAAGCACAUUUAUCAAUUGUCAAUUGUCUCCGCCUUGUCAUACCCUGAAGGAUUCGUGAUACUUAUACACACUCGAGGAAGAAUUAACAUUACACGGCGGUUCUGGUAAUACUACUAGUGCUAGUGAAAAAGAGGUAUUCUAACUUCGUUGGACUUUUUGCAUAAAAUUAAUUCUCCCUGAUAUAAUUCUUAAAAAAAUAUCUAUCAUUAUUAUUUUGCUAUAUAAAAACUUCAUUAGGAGUUAUAUAACAAUUAUAACAAGUACAUACAAUAUUAAUUAAUACCUAUGGCACUUGUUACAGUACAAGAUAUGUUAUUUGAUAUAGGCAUUAACGCAUUAAACAACAAAUAUGUACGACGAGUAGGCAAAGUACAAAGAAUAUACAACACAGAUCGUCACUUUUUACAUUUUUAAGCUAAGGUGAUGUAAUUUGGCGACAUUCUCCAAUUUUUUCUCUUAGAAAUUACAGAUAUAUAAUGCUAAAUUACAUCAUCUUAUUCCGAAAUUUUGUAGAUAAAGACGAAAGAAAUACAAGAGAAAUAUUAGUUGUACCAAGGAGAGACCCAAAUCCAUAUCAAAUACCGUGUAAAAAAACCAGUGUAACUGAGAUACUAUGAGAAGAGAGAAAUAAACAGAGAAAAGGAAAGAACACAGUCGAGAUGAAAGGAAUGAGAGAAUGAGGAAAAAAGAGCAAGAAAUGAAAAUAAUCGCUAAGUAUUUGCCAGCCACUGUAGUAUUACCAUCGCACGAAGCAAAUACAAUUUUACGAUUUUUAUAUAAUAAUUCUUAAUGUACAUCUGUAUGUAUAUAUUCACGCAUCAGAAAAUCGUUAUUCUGUGGGAAGGAAAGGAUUCGUGUCGAUACCUUCGCGCAAAAAAAUAAAUCUUCAUAUUCGACAAUAUAUUCCGAAACAAACGGUCUUUCCAGUCCCACUAUUCUCGUUAAUACGCAUUGCGUAUUAUAACUGUCUUGAAAAUACUUGAAACCUAUUCUUCCCACGUUCUUUCUUUAUAUGCUAUAUAAUACAAUCAUUAUAACACAUAAUACGUUUGCACGUAUAUGUAUAUGAGUAGGACAAAAUAGUGUACCUAAACUUUGUAUAUCACAUAAUAUAUAACAUAAUUUUUUUAUUUAUAUGUAUAUAUAUAAGUGUAUAUGUGUGUAUUUAUUUAUAUGUAUAUGCAUAUGUAAUAUAUUUACUUGUAAUUUGUUCCUCCCUUUUGUCGAUACAUAAACUAUUUCGCGCACGGAAACACUAAAAAUAAAAACUAAUUCCGCUUUGUGCACUACAUAUCAUAGGAACAUCUAUUAUAAAGACAAAAUUAUUUUAUCCUAUAUGUUCAUCAUAUUUUCAACAAUAUUUAAUAAUUACACUUGUUGUAACAUAAUCAAUAUAUAGCAUAUAUCUUGUCUAAUGUUCGAUGUAUUAUCCUUAUGCUGUAACUUACUAUUUGAGGUAAGUAGAAGUUAAUAUGUAAUUUACUGGUAAUACUCUAUCAUCCUCUUUCACAUGUAAUUGAGCAUAACUGAGCGGAUUUGCAUCACAAUUACUUUUUCACAGCAAAUUACAUUAGCAAAUGAACUAAUCAUCUAUAUCAAAAUUGUCAACCGAUUAUAAAUCAUUUUGAAAAGAAAGUAUAAUAACAUAAAAGAAAAUAAAAAUAUUUCAUGACUUUAUAAAUAAUAUUUUAACAUACAAGAUUAAAUUUAAAAUAAUAAAAUAAUAUGAGAUAAAUUAUGUAUGCAUAUGUGUAUUGUUAAAAACUAGAAUUUUUAACAAUUAAAGGAUAACCUUUCUAUCGUAAAUGAUAUUAUGGAUAUCAUUUCAAUAGUUUGUGCAUACAUUACACUUCUAUCAAUUAUCUAUCCUAUUAUAAGAUACCCUAUUAUGAUCCUUAAAAAAUUUAUUCAAAAUAACGAGUGUAUAUAAUGAGUUUCUGAAUUAACUAAGAUAUUUUUUGUUUCCAUUUACAUGAGUGACCUUAGUAAUUUUAUCACACGUCUUUGGUAAAUUAGACGGUGGUAGAAACUCACGAUUUUUUUAUUUAUCUAAAUAAACAUUGUUUAUUAAAAAACAUAUUUUUUCGAUUAAAUUUAAUAAAACAGUGCAACAAUAUGAUCGAUAUUAUCACACAAUAACUCAUUAUGUAUUAUAUCACAAAUCAAGUUUUUCUCACAUGUAAUACUAAUUAAAAUUGAGAGAGAAAACAUUUAUUUUAUACAUUAUUUCGAAACGUUAUUCCUUUCAUUGUAUUACUUCAAAUUCUAUUAAUGAAAAUUAAGAUUUAUAUAUGGAAGUGCAGAAAAGCAUAGCAUGCUGAUAAUUGUAAUUUAUCUAGCAUCUACAUCUAUUGUCCACGAAUAUUUUGUAUAAAUAUACUGCUAUUUAUAGAUAAUUUUAUUCAAUGAUUA
rnacentral:lncRNA from 1 species